ACGCACGCUGGCGGCGUGCUUAACACCUGCAAGUCGAACGUGAUUUUUGUGGAAAUUCUUUCGGGAAUGGAAAUGAAAUGAAAGUGGCGAACGGGUGAGUAACACGUGAGCAACCUACCUUACACAGGGGGAUAGCCGUUGGAAACGACGAUUAAUACCGCAUGAGACCACAGAAUCGCAUGAUAUAGGGGUCAAAGAUUUAUCGGUGUAAGAAGGGCUCGCGUCUGAUUAGCUAGUUGGAAGGGUAAAGGCCUACCAAGGCGACGAUCAGUAGCCGGUCUGAGAGGAUGAAUGGCCACAUUGGAACUGAGACACGGUCCAAACUCCUACGGGAGGCAGCAGUGGGGAAUAUUGCACAAUGGGGGGAACCCUGAUGCAGCGACGCCGCGUGAGCGAAGAAGGUUUUCGAAUCGUAAAGCUCUGUCCUAUGAGAAGAUAAUGACGGUAUCAUAGGAGGAAGCCCCGGCUAAAUACGUG
rnacentral:rRNA from 1 species